rnacentral:rRNA from 1 species
AUGACCUCCUCCGCCUUCUAUGCUAGUCACCACCAGUCGCUCCCGCGCGAGAUGCAGGAGAGCGCACACGAGGCAGCCGCAGCUCGGCCUCUCCAUCUUCUCCGGUCGCUGCAAACCAUGGUGGAAGGUGGGCGGACGAGCUCCUCUCCAUCUUCUCCGCCCGUUGCAGGUAGAGAAGGGAACGGGCAGCUGGAGAUGGAGCAACACCGGUCGCCUCCGGGUGCGGCGGCUCUGGCGAGAUGGGAAGAGUGGAGGGAGGCGACAGCUGCGCUGGGAGUAGAGAGCGCCGAGCGGGGAAGGAGGGACGCGGGGGACCGCUCCGACCCGGCCGCCCUCCAUGGCGUCGCCGCCAAGGCGCGCGGAUGGAGGAGGAGAAGAGGACGCGGCGCGCGGAUGGAGGAGGCGGCACGGAUGGAGGAGGAGGCAAGGACGCGGCUAGGGUUCAUGGGGAAGACGCAGUCUGCGCGGUCUCGCUCCUGCCCGCGCUGCCUGCCUUUUUGGCCCGCUGAAAAGAGUAAAAUGCCCUUGGCCCAUUGA